rnacentral:tRNA from 1 species
GGGAAAUUAGUUAAAUUAUAAUAUAUGCUUGUCAAGCUUAAGUUGCUGCUUAUAGUAGUGUUUUCCU